GUCCUUUAAGCAGUAUCCCAUAUGCAAAUAUAUCUGUUUUGAUGCUUGUAGGUUUGCCGAAGAACAAUUCUUUUGCCAUGUGGGGAUAUUUUAAUUUCGCGUUUUGGAGUUCCUUUUCGUUUUUUUACAAUUAGGCAACUAUGACAUGGGCUACUUAUUAUACUCGAUUUCCCAAAAUCAAUUAUUUUAGGCACAAUAUUAGAGUUCUGUCUUAUGAUUAAAACAUAUUAGAUUUAAUGUCUCCAUGCAAAUAGCUACAUUGGUGAAUAUGAUCAAGUCCUUCACAGAUAUUUCCAGCUACUUGUAGCAAUUUUCUGUCAUUUUUCAAUAUAUUAUCGUCCUUUAAGCAGUCCUUAAUGUCCUUUAAGCAGUAUCCCAUAUGCAAAUAUAUCUGUUUUGAUGCUUGUAGGUUUGCCGAAGAACGAUGCUUUUGCCAUGUGGGGAUAUUUUAAUUUUGCGUUUUCGAGUUCUUUUUCGUUUUUUACAAUUAGGCAACUAUGACACGGGCUACUUAUUAUACUCAAUUUCCCAAAAUCAAUUAUUUUAGGCACAAUAUUAGAGUUCUGUCUUAUGAUUAAAACAUAUUAGAUUUAAUGUCUCCAUGCAAAUAGCUACAUUGGUGAAUAUGAUCAAGUCCUUCACAGAUAUUUCCAGCUACUUGUAGCAAUUUUCUGUCAUUUUUCAAUAUAUUAUCGGAUGUUGAAACUGCAGGAAUGGAACCGGAGGAUGAGUGAUCAUUGUUCCCACUGCCACGACAACUACGAGUAUAUUUCUUAAGAUAAUAUUGCAAUGUUGUCGACAAAGACCCAUAAAAUUCUGAAAUUAUUAAAAAUGGCCUACGUUCAGUGUGCCCUAACAUUUAAAACAGUAAUAAGUUCACGAACAACUUCCUCCUCUGAGCAGUUUUUGUAUUUCUUAACUGCUAC